AUGAACUACUAUCCGGUCUUUCCCUACCACUUCGACCUCAGCGGCACUGCCUUUGGAGCCAUGGCCAAGGACGGCCGCAACGACGAGCUCCGCAAUGCGGGCAUCAUUGACAUGCAGUUCCGGAGGGUGCCGUGCCAGUACCCCGGGCUGGCGGUGAUGUUCCAUGUGGAGAAGGGGUCGAACCCGUUCUACAUGGCAAUCCUGGUGGAAUACGAGAACGGCGACGGCGAUGUGAAACUGCUGGAAAUCAUGGAGUCACGUCCGGUUGCUGGCAACGGCGGCGAGAUGGCUCCAACGGGGGAGUGGGUGCCCAUGAAGGAGUCAUGGGGAUCCAUCUGGAGGAUGGAUGCCCGGCACCGCAUGCAGGGGCCAUUCUCGUUACGCAUCACUAACGAGUCUGGCAAGAUGCUCGUCGCCGAUCAGGUCAUCCCCGCUGUCUGGAAGCCGGAAAAAGUAUACAGCUCGGUCAUCCAGUUUGAUUAA
rnacentral:rRNA from 1 species